UACGUAGGGUGCGAGCGUUAAUCGGAUUUACUGGGCGUAAAGCGUGCGCAGGCGGCCCGUUAAGACAGGUGUGAAAUCCCUGGGCUCAACCUAGGAAUUGCGCUUGUGACUGGCGGGCUCGAGUACGGUAGAGGGGGGUGGAAUUCCUGGUGUAGCAGUGAAAUGCGUAGAGAUCAGGAGGAACACCGAUGGCGAAGGCAGCCCCCUGGGCCUGUACUGACGCUCAUGCACGAAAGCGUGGGUAGCAAACAGG
rnacentral:rRNA from 1 species